AUGAUUAUCAUAUAGGUGUUGCAUGUUCCAAAGCUCUAGAAUACACCCUAAAUCAAUGCACGGGUAAAGAGACAUUACAAACUUAGCGGUUCGUCGUCAAAUAUGUCGGCUGCAUUAACUUCCCUACUUGGUUUCUCCUUUCCUAAAACUAUUGUUCCUACAGGUUUGAAUAAGAAAGUCUACUCUAGUUGACAAAAAUAUGUAAAAAAGAACGAACGGAACGUGCUCAUCUAAAAAAGAGCCGGCCCUAGUUUUCUCCCAGGCACCAACAUCGAGGCAGCUAAAGCAGAUCCGUUUUCUGAUGCCGGUGGAACUGGAGCUCACCAGCGUCGGGAUAAACUAGUCUCUUGUUGUCUUUUGUUCGUUUACCUGCUUUACUCUGACUUCGUCCUUCUUCUUUUUCCUUUUUUUAACUUUCUGAAACUUGGGUUUUCAAGAUCUAGUCGAUAUGUUUCCAUGAAUCAAAUGAAUCAAAUUCUCUCGAUGUUGCUGUCUCUCUGGUAGGUUGUACUUUCAACCUCAAACAUGGAAUCCUCACCUGACAGUGCUGCUUACCGCAUCUCGGGUUCAAGCCUCGAAGACCUUCUUUCCGGAGCGGCGCUAUCAGACUCGGCGGUGGUGGAGGUGGUUUCUUCAAGGAGAAGCUCACUCUCGCUAAUCACCCUUUUUGCUCCGGUAAAAGCUGAAGAUGACGUAAUCGAGGCUGCACAUACCUCCGACGUGUCUGAAUUCAGCCAAUCUCGGGUCUGGCCCGAUGAACCGUUAAUCUUCAUGUGGUGCCUCUCGCCGGUGACACCGAGAGCUCCGGCUACACUAAAAUUAAAUCCUCAUUUCCACAAAUCUGCCCAAAGAUUUUUGUUGCUAUUCACCUUGUAUAUGGAAGCAUCCUGCAAAAAAUAGAAACACUUUGGUCAAGAUAGAGAUCACGUGUAUGAUGUCUGAUGAACAAGGAAAAUUCAAAUGGUCUCCACCAACUCCACAACUCUGGUUUGGCUGUAGCGUCUGUGUCAACGUCUCGUGUAUAUCAGUAACCACCAAAAGUAUGGAAGAGGCCACAAAAUCAGUUUGGGAUCUCACAGAGAUUCUGCUUAAGCUUAUCAAUUUCAAUCCUUUAGAUUACUCUUUUGUGGAGAAGUCUAGUCAAACCUCCUCCUGCCAAGGCCAGGAGAGAUCAUUUUUCCAUUCCUCCUCCUUUGUGGUGAGAGCUCUACCGCCAACUUCCCUCCCGCAAGGAGGUGAUACUUCUCUGGUUUCAAACCUGAGAUCUGUUAGCGCCAUACUCUGUUUGUUUUCUUGUGUAGCGACUUGUACGAGGUCUGAAGAAACAACGGAAUUCGUUUCGACGAAAAUCCAAGAUAUGAGCCAGUUAUCAAAGGCAAGACAUAUAAUACAUAUGUUGCCGUCUCUAUUGCUCUUCGUCAUAUUCGAAGUUGCUUCUUCAACGCAUCCGAAUUUCUUCUUAGAUUUGCUGGAUUCGCAGUUGUUUUAUCCAAAUUUCUAUCUUAUUUCAUGCUUUUUAAUGUUUAACUUUGCUUGUAUUAUUGAAUUUUACUUUUCUGGUA